rnacentral:rRNA from 1 species
UACGGAGGGUGCAAGCGUUAUCCGGAUUUACUGGGUUUAAAGGGUGUGUAGGCGGGGCUUUAAGUCAGUUGUGAAAUCUCCGAGCUCAACUUGGAAACUGCCAUUGAUACUAUUGAUCUUGAAUUUUGUUGAGGUAGGCGGAAUAAGUCAUGUAGCGGUGAAAUGCAUAGAUAUGACUUAGAACACCAAUUGCGAAGGCAGCUUACUAAGCAAAUAUUGACGCUGAGGCACGAAAGCGUGGGGAUCAAACAGG